rnacentral:tRNA from 1 species
GGCCAGUUAGCUCAGUCAGUUGAGUGUGGCGCUAACAACGCCAAGGUCGCAGGUUCAAUUCCCGUUUGGUCC